rnacentral:pre_miRNA from 1 species
UGUUAAAACUUCAUUCAUUUGUAUUGUUAAAAAUGGAUAUAGUUGAUGGAAUAACCAGAUAGUAACACAUGGCAUGCCACGUGUACCUCAUGUUGACGUAUAAGGAUCGGUUUUAACAGUGAAAAUAGAUGAAAUUUUUAAUA